UACGGGGGGGGCAAGCGUUGUUCGGAAUUACUGGGCGUAAAGGGCUCGUAGGCGGCCAACUAAGUCAGACGUGAAAUCCCUCGGCUUAACCGGGGAACUGCAUCUGAUACUGGAUGGCUUGAGGUUGGGAGAGGGAUGCGGAAUUCCAGGUGUAGCGGUGAAAUGCGUAGAUAUCUGGAGGAACACCGGUGGCGAAGGCGGCAUCCUGGACCAAUUCUGACGCUGAGGAGCGAAAGCCAGGGGAGCAAACGGGG
rnacentral:rRNA from 1 species